UACAGAGGUCUCAAGCGUUGUUCGGAUUCAUUGGGCGUAAAGGGUGCGUAGGUGGCGCCGUAAGUCGGGUGUGAAAUUUCGGAGCUUAACUCCGAAACUGCAUUCGAUACUGCGGUGCUUGAGGACUGGAGAGGAGACUGGAAUUCAUGGUGUAGCAGUGAAAUGCGUAGAUAUCGUAAGGAAGACCAGUGGCGAAGGCGGGUCUCUGGACAGUACCUGACGCUGAGGCACGAAGGCCAGGGGAGCAAACGGG
rnacentral:rRNA from 1 species